UACGUAGGGGGCAAGCGUUGUCCGGAAUUAUUGGGCGUAAAGAGCGCGUAGGCGGUCCGAUAAGUCGGCUGUGAAAGUCAAGGGCUCAACCCUUGAAAGCCGGCCGAUACUGUCGGACUAGAGUCCGGAAGAGGCAAGUGGAAUUCCUGGUGUAGCGGUGAAAUGCGCAGAUAUCAGGAGGAACACCGAUGGCGAAGGCAGGUCUCUGGGCCACUACUGACGCUGAGAAGCGAAAGCAUGGGGAGCGAACAGG
rnacentral:rRNA from 1 species